rnacentral:rRNA from 1 species
GACGAACCGAGCGACCGUUAUUCGGAAUCACUGGGCUUAAAGGGUGCGUAGGCGGGCUCGUGAGUCAGGGGUGAAAUCCCACGGCCCAACCGUGGAAGUGCCUCUGAUACCGCGGGCCUAGAGGGGGACAGGGGCAUGCGGAACUUCCGGUGGAGCGGUGAAAUGCGUAGAUAUCGGAAGGAACACCGGUGGCGAAAGCGGCGUGCUGGAUCCCUACUGACGCUGAGGCACGAAAGCCAGGGGAGCAAACGGG